GUUCCCACCGUGGACACCGAGCCCACCUGUCCGCCCGCCUACACACACACACACCCUGCCGCUACCCUGCAGUGAAUCUCUUCCACGCUGCAGCUGUCUACCCCUCAAUUCCCGAUCGCUCCCCCUCCCGAGGCGCUCCUGUGGACCGGACCCGAAUCCCUGUCAUUCCUCGUUCACUGUUGUGUAAAAUAAACCUUGUAAAUAUUUGCACUCCA